GCUAUUUCUCUCUCUGCAUGAAAGACAAAUGAAAUUGUUUGUGUGAUUAUCUCCGAAGAGGAAAGGGAAAAUGAGAGCAAAACUCGACAACCAGAAGGCCCAUAAAAUUGGGCUCUAGCUACAGACAUGUGGGGUACCUGCAAUGAAUCCCUUCACGGGAGUCCCUCAUCUCCAGGUUGGCUGUUUGAUUACAGAGCAGGGAUGCUGGAAGGCACAAGACAGUUCAGAUUGCUGGAAAACCAGCUCCCGGAAUGACAGCUCACCAGCUCCAUAGGGCAGCGUCUUCUCAAUCUUAUAAUCGGGCAAGAGAUAAGCAUGGUGAAGAUGACAGCUGGAGAGCCCAAAUACUUUUUGAGGACUUUGGGGAAAGCAGAAGGCCAGACACGAGUACCUACAGGGGCCGACGGAUCCAAGGAGAAGUCCUAGCGAAAGGAAGGACCCAGCAGCUCCCUCCUGCCAGCGCUGGAUACCCUGGCGCUGGUGCCCAGUCCAGCAAUGAUAUGUGAGGCACCAGUCAGGGACACUGCUCACCUUCCUCUGGGCCCAGCCACCAUGAAGGCCAAAGCAGAGCCCCCGCGCAGGCCAGCUCACGUCCCAUUCUGCCAUGUCUCAUGCUGGAGAGAAUUGUAUUGAUAGAAAAUGUCAAAAUGCAAAAGAAUGCCCUGACUUUUGACUUUUUUCCUGUGACCUUUUCAUUAAAGCAACUAAUAGGAGUGAUAUAACAAUAGAAUGAUUUAAUAAUUAGAUCCAGGACACAUUUGGUCUUCAUUAUUACAAUGAUUACUUUUCAGUAACAUGAAGAAAAACAUGAAUCUUAAAGUAAUUCUCAAUAAUUUAAUUAAGGUCAACCAUUCCCUAAAGAGCAGCAGCUGUGUUUGGAAAAAGAUUUCUGAGAAAUCCUGAUAAUACAGUCCUAGGUAUUCAGAGCUGCUCUGGGGACCCACGUGCCUUUCAAUACGAACCAGGGUGGCACAUUCCAUUGUUUUGUUUUGAGGAAGCGAAAUACAACAGAGUUCCCAAAUGUGUUCAUUUUAUUACAACCCAGCUGUGACUGAGCAGGUCGGAGCCCAGAAGCAUCUUCUAUCACCCCCUUGGUGCAGAGGGUUUUUUGAUUCUCUUAUUUCAGCCGCUUUGGGGUCAUUGGGCCGUCCAUUAAUUCUUAGGUUCCAUGAAGCUAAAUUAGUUUAAUUUAGCCUGAGCUGAAAUGAGAUAACUCUCCCGAAGUAAAGGGCAGGAGAGACCGAGUGCAGACUUGUUCCUGGGCUUGGGCUUCUUUCCAGGGCUCCCACCCCAACCAAGCCAUCACCUUCUCUC
rnacentral:lncRNA from 1 species